UGACAAGGCUAGGGGGCACACCCGCUUACCAAACCUUAUCAAACUCCGAAUACCGUGCAAUGGAACGUGGCAGUGAGACAGUGGGGGAUAAGCUUCAUUGUCGAGAGGGAAACAACCCAGACCAGCAGCUAAGGUGCCUAAAUAACGCUCAGUGGAAAGGAUGUGGGAUUACACAGACAGUGAGGAUGUUGGCUUAGAAGCAGCCACCAUUUAAAAAAUGCGUAAUAGCUUACUCAUCGAGUGAUCCUGCGCCGAAAAUGAUUGGCGAUCAAGCGUUAUACCGAAGCUCUGGACUUUGCCGCAAGGCAGAGUGGUAGAAGAGCGUUGCAUGCGCGUCGAAGGGCGAUGGCGACUGACCCUGGAGCACAUGCAAGUGAGUAUGCAGACAUGAGUAACGUUAAGCCGGGUGAAAUCCCCGGCCGCCGUAAACCCGAGGUUUCCAGGGCAACGUGUUUCGUCCCUGGGUUAGCCGGGACCUAAGCCGAGGCCGAGAGGCGUAGGCGAUGGACAUCAGGUUAAUAAUCCUGAGCUCGCAACCCUUAAACUGGGGGGACGCAUGAGAAAAGAUGACUAGGUUAUUGAAUUCCGAGUUGAGUCCACGGACUCAGCGCAUCAUUGGAUCGAGUGCCAAGAAAAGCCCCAGCGUAUGCUAAGCGACCCGUACCGCAAACCGACACAGGUGGGUGGGUAGAAUAUACCAAGGCGUAAGAGUGAAACCUGGUUAAGGAACUCGGCAAAUUAGCCCCGUAACUUCGGAAGAAGGGGUGCCUGCAGCGAUGCAGGCCGCAGAGAAAUGGCCCAACCGACUGUUUAUCAAAAACACAGCACUCUGCAAAGACGCAAGUCGAAGUAUAGGGUGUGACACGUGACCAAUGCCGAAAGAUUAAGGCAAGGGGUUAGCCGCAAGGCGAAGCUCUAAACCCAAGUCCCGGUGAAUGUCGGCCGUAACUAUAACGGUCCUAAGGUAGCGAAAUUCCUUGUCGGGUAAGUUCCGACCUGCACGAAUCGUGAAACGAGUUGGGCACUGUCUCAACCAGGCGCUCAGUGAAAUUGUAGUGGCGGUGAAGAUGCCGCCUACCCGCAGAAGGACGGAAAGACCCUAUAGACCUUAACUGUAAGCUGUCAUUGUUUCUUCGGUUUUAAUGCUCAGAGUAAGUGGGAGACGCUGAAGACGCCCUUUAGGGGGCGUCCGAGUCAUCAAUGAGACACCACCCUUUGAAACUGGAGGAUCUAACCCUGAGCCGUGAAUCCGGCCAGAGGACCGUGUCAGCCGGUCAGUUUUACUGGGGCGGUAUCCUCCCAAAGAGUAACGGAGGAGCGCGAAGGUGGGCUCAGCCCGGUUGGCAACCGGGUGUCGAGUGCAUGGGCAUAAGCCCGCCUAACUGUGAGACCAACAAGUCGAGCAGAUGCGAAAGCAGGCCCAAGUGAUCCGGCGGUAGAAAGUGGAAUUGCCGUCGCUCAACGGAUAAAAGGUACCUUAGGGAUAACAGGCUGAUCACGCCCAAGAGUUCAUAUCGACGGCGUGGUUUGGCACCUCGAUGUCGGCUCGUCGCAUCCUGGGGCUGGAGAAGGUCCCAAGGGUCCGGCUGUUCGCCGGUUAAAGCGGCACGCGAGCUGGGUUCAGAACGUCGCGAGACAGUUCGGUCCUCUAUCCUCUGUGGGCGUUGGAAAAUUGAGGGGUUCAGACCUUAGUACGAGAGGACCGGGUCUGACGCACCACUGGUGCAUCGGUUGUACUGUCAAGUGCAUGGCCGAGUAGCUAAGUGCGGACGGGAUAAGCGCUGAAAGCAUCUAAGCGCCAAGCCCUUCCCAAGAUGAGUUUUCCCUACAGGUUCGUGGAAGACCACCACGUUGAUAGGUCGCAGGUGUAAGUGCAGCAAUGUAUUGAGCCGAGCGAUACUAAUUACCAAUUGACUUCAUC
rnacentral:rRNA from 1 species